rnacentral:antisense_RNA from 1 species
UUCAAUGGUGGGGCGUGGUGGGGGCUACCUCGGUAGCGUCGGUUUACUAUUUCGCCGAUACGCCAACUCUGCCACGUUCCUACCUCCUUC